UACCUCUCAGAGCUCGCCUUACUCUCCAUCUAACAAACCAAGGAGAGGAACCUGGUAACCCAUCGUCUUUACCUCUCAGAGCUCGCCUUACUCUCCAUCUGACAAACCAAGGAGAGGAACCUGGUACAAUGAUGAAGAAGCCAGAAUUCUUGACGACCUGUAAGGCUGACCAGCGGUCGCACUUCAAAUCCAAGGUAAAAGUCUAUGUUACAAAAAAUAUAUAACGAAAGCAGUUGAUAAUGAAGAAAUUAGCUUGAUGAAACAAAACAACUUUACAUCAGUGGGAUUUGGGUCUGAAUUUGAUGUGGUAGCUGUUCCUAAUUGGUUGAUUACUUAUCAGAAGGAAAAAUGUUCAGGCAAAAUCUUCUUAAGAGAUGCAACGCAACAACCACCUCUCUCUCUCUCUCCCUCUCUCUAUAGUGGAAAGUGAUGAUUUCAAUAAUUGUGUAAAUUGGCAUUGUGUUGCCUUUUCAAUCCCAUUGAGAUGUAGCAUUUUUAUUUACUGGCAAUGUUAGAAUUUAGAUACAUCUUGGACAUCAAGAAUGAUUAAUGUAAUGUAUGAAUUAUAUUUGAAUGAGUAUGGAAUGAUGGGGUUGAGAGAGGGAGAGAGGGAGGGAGAUGAAAUUGGAGUGAUUAUAUUUGGAAUUUAA